rnacentral:lncRNA from 1 species
CAUCAAUUGACUUUCCUAUUUACAAUGAUUCAACAUAAACUCUUACUCCGAUCUAAAUCUCGUAAAAAAAAUAAUAAUAAUAAUAAUAACAAUUUCUUUUUUGAUUGCCCUCAUCUCAUCCAUAAAGUCCUCUUGGACACUACAUGCAGUCAAAAUAUAAUGCUCGUCCAUUUGGGGUCACUUCGAUCUUCAGCUUUUCGAACACAACACUUUGUUUGACAUCAUCCAUUCUAAACGUCCUAAUAGCAGUCAUUUAAAUUCCUGACAUUAAAUUGAUGGCGGUACCUAGAACAUAAUGCACGUCCUCUCCGCACGACGCUUGGCUGCCAAUGUGGUGAGAGCGAGGGAAUUCUCCCCCACGGUGAACUCCAAUCGAGGUUGUGUCCAUGACCUAUGCAAAUCUCUCUUCGGAAUCCUAUUCACCAUUGUUGUCUUGUGAUCUGAUUGUGUAUCAUCCAUCACUGCGUUUCUGUUCACCGUCUUCUUGAACAUCUUGCACUGUUUCACAAAGCGGCCUGACGAUAGUAUAUUAUUCUUAUCCUGCAAUCUACCAUCAUUAUCCUCCUCCUUGUGGGAAUCAGACUUCAAGGGCUGGUUUUUGUUCUUCUUCCUGUGUCGCCUUUGGGUUGCCGCAUGCACCUUCUCACUUUCCUUUACAGAGAGCCCCGCCCUCACUCUUGCCAGAGACUCUUGCUUAACCAGUAGGUUCUCCAACUCGG